UGAUGGGGGGCGGAGAGGGGCAGGAACUGGGGAGGCAGGCGAAGCGCGGGCCGGGAGCGCCCUCUAGUGCCGCCCGCAAGCAUCCCCGCCAAGUCCCCAGCUCCUCGCCCGCGCGGGGCUCCGGGGGCGCGCUCGAGAACCGGGGCUAGGCCUCCCGGGAGCUGGGAGUCUUGCGGACGCCUGACCGAGACCCCGGGCGGGACGCGGGCGGGCAGACGAACGGGCCAGGCCGGCAGGUUGGGGCACUGGACAGGCAAGCAAGGGCAGCCCUGCACCCUCGCGCAGCCUGGAGCCUCCCCGCCCCUCACCUGCAGGUCCCACCUGCCCCGCGGCCCCGCCCCUCACUACCGGUCCCACCCACUCCAAGCCCCGCCCCUCACCUGCCGGUCCCACCCACUCCAGGUCCCCGCCCCUGUCCUGCUACACCUGUGCUGUCUCACCUGCGACCCCUCCCCUCCCCGGCCGGGCUCGCCUCCUCCUGCAAGCCCCGCUGCCAGUCCCUGGGUGUCUUCUGAAUCCCUGGACAGAUGGGGUCCGACCCAGACUCGAACAGGCCUCCGUGGCGUUUCAGGGAGAGAGGCGUCCACAAGCCACCGCCCUCGAAGGGUGGAGAGUUCCCCGGUUCUUGGAGCUCCAGGCCCCGUCCUUCACCUUUCCCCCUAGCUGCCGGGGUUGGCUCCUUUCCUGGACCCCGCAAUCUUAUUCCUGACCUGUCAGAUGCCGCCCACCUGUUCUGCCAGGCUGGACACCAGCUGUACACCCUGCAUCCUCCUCCCAGGCGGGUGGACGCACACACUCGGCCGCAGCUGCCAAGGUCUGCAGGGUCGCAGCCCCACACGGAGCACACUUGCAUCCGCCCGCGUGGGCCGACUCCAGUCGCCCCCACUGCAGUGCAGUGAGAGGUGUUUUAAAUCCGGACCUCAUCUGGUUGCCUUCAUCCCAGAAGAACCCCUGGCCUUUCCCCCCUUCCCUGAGCUUUUUGGGGGCACAACGAUGUCGUAUUGGAAGGGCCUGCUUUCUGGAUAUGCUGGUGCUCCUGUGGGGUCGUCAGACUUUACUGGGUGGGUACCUGGGGCAGGAGCGCUGUAGAGGGGUGGGGCACAGCAAGGGGCACAUGGCUAGCAGCCCUUGUCCCCAGUUGUUCCAGGGAAUGGUGCCCAGGCUGGAAAGCUGCAACGCUAAAUUCCAGCGUUUCUUCAGGCCCACCAGCUGGAAUUCUCCCUCAACACCUCGCGGGGAUGGAACUUCCUCCUGAGAAGACUGGGGAGUGGCUUUCUACUUUCUGAUGGGAGAGUUGGCACCAGCACCAGCCGGCUGGCCAGACAGAGGACCACUGCAGGGACGUGAUCUUUCUUUACAUCCCAUUCUCCAUGUUUCACCCUCACUCUUUCCUCGUUCUGGUCAGGAGUACCCUGUCCCCAGGACUCUAGAGCCAUCUCCUUAAGCAAACCCCCAGCACCCUCAUCAGCAUCCCCAGAACCCUGGUGUCUUUCUGUGGCCUUCUUAACUGUGGAGACAAGAAACAUGCUCCCGACCAGGCCCCUGACUCCCCUGAGGGCAUGUAGGCGCCUGCCAGGAGCAUUUUAAAGAACCUGGAUGGAGCUAUUGGCCCAGGGCCCAGGCCAGGGGGCAGGCAAGAGCGGAGAUCUACCAGUCCCCCACUCACAACUGCACCCACAGAAAUAAACCCUCCCACGCAGUUCUAAAGCGGCAUCCGAGCUCCCAAGACCUACAAGGCAGAGGAAACACAGCCAAGGCCAGCCUCAGGGACAAAUGCGAGACUAGUGAAGGUGGCCCUUGGGCAGGGUGCAGGCAAGGGUGUCAGGACUCAGCAAGGGUGGAGGGAUCCCACACAGCACCCCAUGCAGCCUGGUGCCCGUGGUGAGGCCACUGGAGACGGUGGAGGGCAUCGUUUUGUCUGUCCUGUCUGCCUGGCAGCCCUCUCAGCUCUAUACUUGGGGGUAGAGUGCAGGCAGACCUAAGCCAGCUCUCUGGGCCCUGUCCAGGCUUGGGGAGCAGCCUCUAGUGGAGGGACGGCCCCUGCAUCAUCAAGGACCCCUCAGCGGAGUGCACACCUUUGGGCACCACUGUCCCCACUCUCGGGUGUCCUCAGAGUCUUUCCCAAUGGAAUUGGGCCUUCCUGGGUGAUCCUUCAACCAGGAUCCCAGUCCUGUCUUCCCAGGUCCCACAGCGUCCGCUGAGGGCUGGGGUCAGGGGAAAGCCAGGUCAGGCAACGGCCUACUUCCCAGUCUGGACAAAGCAAGCAGUGAACAGUGGACAUGUCAUCGCGACAGUGCUUUAUUAACCCUCCUCCGGACAUCACACUGAGCACCUACCCGCCGCACGGGGGUCCAACUGGGGGCACAAUCAGACAGGACGUGAAGCCAGUGUGCAGCGGAGGCCACCCAGGCAUGGUUCCGCCAGGCAGACGUCCAUCUGGAACCUGGUCUCCCAGCAGAACAGCCAUACCCACGGGCCACGGACCACCCCCUUCCGCCGCAAAGGUAGAAGCGGACCCCCAAGUGGUCACAAAGGCAGACAUUCCAACGAUUCAGAUGGCUUCCACCUUGACUUCUGAUGUGUCACACAGUUCAAAAAUCCUACUUGGAGCUAUUAGAGGAACAUUAACUUAGCAUUUUAAUAAAAACACUAUUUCUAAAAAAAGACAUUUAUACAUAGCUGGGGGGUGGGGUGGUGGUGGUUCUCAGGUACAGCCGGCCCAGGGCCGCAUUGUGAGAACCACCGCCUGGAGGUUAUUCUUUAAAAAUUACAAAGUGCCCUUCAUCUUUUAAAAAGUCUGGAUUUCAAUAUUCCAAAAGGGAUCUAGAAGCCACACACUAUUUUCCCGAAUCCCAACUACAAGAGCGGGUGUUUAAAACGUGGAGGAUUGGGCCCGUGCUAAGAACUCCUGCUUCCUUCUCAAGGGGUGUGGACACCGCAGGCCCCUCCGGAGGUGACACAGGAAGGCCGAGGGAGCCACCCCUGCAAGCCGCACUGUGCAGAAUGGCUUUCUAGACUUACCGGUGCUGUGCCUGCACCGGGACCCAACACUCUGCUGCAGCUAACAGCUCAGGACAGGAACAUUCCCCGCAUUGAGGGGGGCCUACCGCAGGACCAUUGCCACCGGGGCCAAUGCCGGAGGGGCCCCUGGCCCUCGGCAAGCCUGGCAGCAUCAGGGCGGUGUUUGAAGCGGCAAGUGUCUCCCCUGGAAGACGCAGACAGCAGGGGGCGCAGCGAAGGGGCUGGCCAUGGUGGUGACCACACCUUGGGGCUACUCAGGACGCCAGGCAGCGAGGGUGUAAACGGGAUUUGGG